rnacentral:rRNA from 3 species
AGAGUUUGAUCAUGGCUCAGAUUGAACGCUGGCGGCAGGCCUAACACAUGCAAGUCGAGCGGUAGCACAGAGAGCUUGCUCUCGGGUGACGAGCGGCGGACGGGUGAGUAAUGUCUGGGAAACUGCCUGAUGGAGGGGGAUAACUACUGGAAACGGUAGCUAAUACCGCAUAAUGUCGCAAGACCAAAGUGGGGGACCUUCGGGCCUCAUGCCAUCAGAUGUGCCCAGAUGGGAUUAGCUAGUAGGUGGGGUAACGGCUCACCUAGGCGACGAUCCCUAGCUGGUCUGAGAGGAUGACCAGCCACACUGGAACUGAGACACGGUCCAGACUCCUACGGGAGGCAGCAGUGGGGAAUAUUGCACAAUGGGCGCAAGCCUGAUGCAGCCAUGCCGCGUGUGUGAAGAAGGCCUUCGGGUUGUAAAGCACUUUCAGCGGGGAGGAAGGCGGUAAGGUUAAUAACCUCAUCGAUUGACGUUACCCGCAGAAGAAGCACCGGCUAACUCCGUGCCAGCAGCCGCGGUAAUACGGAGGGUGCAAGCGUUAAUCGGAAUUACUGGGCGUAAAGCGCACGCAGGCGGUCUGUCAAGUCGGAUGUGAAAUCCCCGGGCUCAACCUGGGAACUGCAUUCGAAACUGGCAGGCUAGAGUCUUGUAGAGGGGGGUAGAAUUCCAGGUGUAGCGGUGAAAUGCGUAGAGAUCUGGAGGAAUACCGGUGGCGAAGGCGGCCCCCUGGACAAAGACUGACGCUCAGGUGCGAAAGCGUGGGGAGCAAACAGGAUUAGAUACCCUGGUAGUCCACGCCGUAAACGAUGUCGAUUUGGAGGUUGUGCCCUUGAGGCGUGGCUUCCGGAGCUAACGCGUUAAAUCGACCGCCUGGGGAGUACGGCCGCAAGGUUAAAACUCAAAUGAAUUGACGGGGGCCCGCACAAGCGGUGGAGCAUGUGGUUUAAUUCGAUGCAACGCGAAGAACCUUACCUGGUCUUGACAUCCACAGAACUUUCCAGAGAUGGAUUGGUGCCUUCGGGAACUGUGAGACAGGUGCUGCAUGGCUGUCGUCAGCUCGUGUUGUGAAAUGUUGGGUUAAGUCCCGCAACGAGCGCAACCCUUAUCCUUUGUUGCCAGCGGUUCGGCCGGGAACUCAAAGGAGACUGCCAGUGAUAAACUGGAGGAAGGUGGGGAUGACGUCAAGUCAUCAUGGCCCUUACGACCAGGGCUACACACGUGCUACAAUGGCAUAUACAAAGAGAAGCGACCUCGCGAGAGCAAGCGGACCUCAUAAAGUAUGUCGUAGUCCGGAUUGGAGUCUGCAACUCGACUCCAUGAAGUCGGAAUCGCUAGUAAUCGUAGAUCAGAAUGCUACGGUGAAUACGUUCCCGGGCCUUGUACACACCGCCCGUCACACCAUGGGAGUGGGUUGCAAAAGAAGUAGGUAGCUUAACCUUCGGGAGGGCGCUUACCACUUUGUGAUUCAUGACUGGGGUGAAGUCGUAACAAGGUAACCGUAGGGGAACCUGCGGUUG